rnacentral:rRNA from 1 species
CCUACGGGUGGCAGCAGUGAGGAAUAUUGGUCAAUGGGCGCGAGCCUGAACCAGCCAAGCAGCGUGAAGGAUGACUGCCCUACGGGUUGUAAACUUCUUUUAUAAGGGAAUAAAGUGAGGGACGUGUGCCUUUUUGUGGGUACUUGAUGAAUAAGGAUCGGCUAACUCCGUGCCAGCAGCCGCGGUAAUACGGAGGAUCCGAGCGUUAUCCGGAUUUAUUGGGUUUAAAGGGGGCGUAGAUGGGUUGUUAAGUCAGUGGUGAAAGUUUGCGGCUCAACCGUAGAAUUGCCUUUGAUACUGGCAGUCUUGAGUACAGGUGAGGUAGGCGGAAUGCGUGGUGUAGCGGUGAAAUGCUUAGAUAUCACGCAGAACUCCGAUUGCGAAGGCAGCUUACUAACCUGCCACUGACGUUGAUGCACGAAAGUGUGGGUAUCAAACAGGAUUAGAUACCCUUGUAGUC